CAAAGGCUUGGUCCUGACUUUACUAUCAACUUUAUCUGAACUUAUACAUGCAAGUCUCCGCCCUCCCGUGAGGAUGCCCACAGUUCCCUGCUUGGGAACAAGGAGCUGGUAUCAGGCACACCCCCAAGCCCACGACGCCUUGCUUAGCCACACCCCCAAGGGUACUCAGCAGUGAUAAAUAUUAAGCCAUGAGUGAAAGCUUGACUUAAUUACAGGUAAGAGGGCCGGUAAAACUCGUGCCAGCCACCGCGGUUAGACGAGAGGCCCAAGUUGAUGGACAACGGCGUAAAGGGUGGUUAGGGGUCACAAUAAACUAAAGCUGAAUGCUCUCAAGACUGUUAUAUGUGUUCGAGAGUUUGAAACCCAACUACGAAAGUGGCUUUACUAGACCUGAGUCCACGAAAGCUAAGGAACAAACUGGGAUUAGAUACCCCACUAUG
rnacentral:rRNA from 1 species